rnacentral:rRNA from 1 species
UGGCGGCAUGCCUAACACAUGCAAGUCGAACGGAGUAAUGACUUCGGUUAUUACUUAGUGGCGAACGGGUGAGUAACACGUGAAUAAUCUGCCCUGUACGAUGGGAUAACAGCUGGAAACGGCUGCUAAUACCGUAUAUGACCACGCCGAGGCAUCUCGGAGGGGUGAAAGCGCUUAAGCGGUACAGGAUGAGUUCGCGUCCAAUUAGCUAGUUGGUGAGGUAACGGCCCACCCAAGGCGACGAUUGGUAGCCGACCUGAGAGGGUGAUCGGCCACACUGGAACUGAGACACGGUCCAGACUCCUACGGGAGGCAGCAGUGGGGAAUAUUGGGCAAUGGAGGAAACUCUUUAACCCCCAGCAAUGCCGCGUGAGUGAUGAAGGUCUUCGGAUUGUAAAGCUCUUUGAUUGGGGACGAAUAAAUGACGGUACCCAAGGAACAAGCCCCGGCUAACUAUGUGCCAGCCGCAGC